AUGGACAAGAUGCUGGAAGCAUCAUUCUUAAUUCUGUGUCUUCAAGUAGACUCAGGGGUGAGUGGACAACAGAAGGAAAAAAGUGACCAAGAGCAGGUGAAACAGAGCCCUCAAUCUUUGACAGUUCAGGAAGGAGAGAUUUCCAUUCUGAACUGUAAUUAUGAGAAGAGUGCAUUUGAUUACUUCCUGUGGUACCAGCAAUACCCUGGUAAAGGGCCUGCAUUCCUGAUAGCCAUAUGUUCAGCUGUGAAUAAAAUGGAAGAGGGAAGACUCACAGUUUCCCUCAAUGAGAGUGCCAAACCGCUCACAUUGCACAUCGCAACUUCCCAGCCUGGAGACUCAGCCGCAUACUUCUGUGCAGCAAGUGCACGGUGCUCCCCAGGCACCUGCAGCCUGUGCCCAGACCUGCAGCCGAGGCCCCAGACACACCCUGAAGUGCAGGUGAAAUACACACAUAUACAUGCUUGUGCAUAA